CGCAACCCUUGUCCUUAGUUGCCACCAUUCAGUUGGGCACUCUAAGGAGACUGCCGGUGUUAAACCGGAGGAAGGUGGGGAUGACGUCAAGUCCUCCAUGGCCCUUAGUAUCCAGGGCUACACACGUGCUACAAUGGCCGGUACAAAGGGUUGCAAUACCGCGAGGUGGAGCUAAUCCCAAAAGCCGGUCUCAGUUCGGAUUGGAGUCUGCAACUCGACUCCAUGAAGUCGGAAUCGCUAGUAAUCGCGUAUCAGCGUGACCGCGGUGAAUACGUUCCCGGGCCUU
rnacentral:rRNA from 1 species